CAGUGAAAUUGAACUCGCUGUGAAGAUGCAGUGUACCCGCGGCAAGACGGAAAGACCCCGUGAACCUUUACUAUAGCUUGACACUGAACAUUGAGCCUUGAUGUGUAGGAUAGGUGGGAGGCUUUGAAGUGUGGACGCCAGUCUGCAUGGAGCCGACCUUGAAAUACCACCCUUUAAUGUUUGAUGUUCUAACGUUGACCCGUAAUCCGGGUUGCGGACAGUGUCUGGUGGGUAGUUUGACUGGGGCGGUCUCCUCCUAAAGAGUAACGGAGGAGCACGAAGGUUGGCUAAUCCUGGUCGGACAUCAGGAGGUUAGUGCAAUGGCAUAAGCCAGCUUGACUGCGAGCGUGACGGCGCGAGCAGGUGCGAAAGCAGGUCAUAGUGAUCCGGUGGUUCUGAAUGGAAGGGCCAUCGCUCAACGGAUAAAAGGUACUCCGGGGAUAACAGGCUGAUACCGCCCAAGAGUUCAUAUCGACGGCGGUGUUUGGCACCUCGAUGUCGGCUCAUCACAUCCUGGGGCUGAAGUAGGUCCCAAGGGUAUGGCUGUUCGCCAUUUAAAGUGGUACGCGAGCUGGGUUUAGAACGUCGUGAGACAGUUCGGUCCCUAUCUGCCGUGGGCGCUGGAGAACUGAGGGGGGCUGCUCCUAGUACGAGAGGACCGGAGUGGACGCAUCACUGGUGUUCGGGUUGUCAUGCCAAUGGCACUGCCCGGUAGCUAAAUGCGGAAGAGAUAAGUGCUGAAAGCAUCUAAGCACGAAACUUGCC
rnacentral:rRNA from 1 species